rnacentral:rRNA from 1 species
AUUGAACGCUGGCGGCAUGCCUUACACAUGCAAGUCGAACGGCAGCACGGGUGCUUGCACCUGGUGGCGAGUGGCGAACGGGUGAGUAAUAUAUCGGAACGUACCUUAUUGUGGGGGAUAACGCAGCGAAAGCUGUGCUAAUACCGCAUAAUCCCUUAGGGGGAAAGCGGGGGACCGUAAGGCCUCGCGCAAUUAGAGCGGCCGAUACCUGAUUAGCUAGUUGGUGGGGUAAAGGCUCACCAAGGCGACGAUCAGUAGCUGGUCUGAGAGGACGAUCAGCCACACGGGGACUGAGACACGGCCCAGACUCCUACGGGAGGCAGCAGUGGGGAAUUUUGGACAAUGGGGGCAACCCUGAUCCAGCAAUGCCGCGUGAGUGAAGAAGGCCUUCGGGUUGUAAAGCUCUUUUGUCAGGGAAGAAACAGCAGCUCUAACACAGUAUGCGAAUGACGGUACCUGAAGAAUAAGCACCGGCUAACUACGUGCCAGCCGCCGCCGUAA